UAAUUUUUAGAGUUACACUGAUAUACUAUCGGUAGCACGGAAGCCUCCGUGCUACCAAAUUAUUUUCAAUAAUGUGGCUUCCAAAUCAACGAUCGGCUCCGUUAGACUUGAUCUACAUUAUUAAAAGUAUUUAGAAACUAAAUUUCAUAAUUUUUCGACAUCAUUUACCUAUCAAACGAGUAGUCCAAAAAUGAACGGCUGAAAAUAAAAAUCUCAUAAAAAAUAAUGAUAGAAGAUUUGAAUUUAAGAUCAGAGGUACUGAUCUUACUCUAAAUAGUAAAGAGAAUUUUCUAUAAAAAUUUCAUCUGAUUUGGAUUGUUUUACAUCGUUGAAUUUACAAAUGCAUCACAGGUACUGAUCUUACUCUAAAUAGUAAAGAGAAUUUUCUAUAAAAAUUUCAUCUGAUUUGGAUUGUUUUACACCGUUGAAUUUACAAAUGCAUCACAGGUACUGAUCUUACUCUAAAUAGUAAAGAGAAUUUUCUAUAAAAAUUUCAUCUGAUUUGGAUUGUUUUACACCGUUGAAUUUACAAAUGCAUCACAGGUACUGAUCUUACUCUAAAUAGUAAAGAGAAUUUUCUAUAAAAAUUUCAUCUGAUUUGGAUUGUUUUACACCGUUGAAUUUACAAAUGCAUCACAGGUACUGAUCUUACUCUAAAUAGUAAAGAGAAUUUUCUAUAAAAAUUUCAUCUGAUUUGGAUUGUUUUACACCGUUGAAUUUACAAAUGCAUCACAGGUACUGAUCUUACUCUAAAUAGUAAAGAGAAUUUUCUAUAAAAAUUUCAUCUGAUUUGGAUUGUUUUACACCGUUGAAUUUACAAAUGCAUCACAGGUACUGAUCUUACUCUAAAUAGUAAAGAGAAUUUUCUAUAAAAAUUUCAUCUGAUUUGGAUUGUUUUACACUGUUGAAUUUACAAAUACAUCACAUCUACCAUUAAAAUUGUCAAUUUUGAGACCUUUUGAUCACUAGUCAAAUGAUGUCGAAAAAUUAUGAAAUUUAGUUUCCAAAUAUUUUUAAUAGUGUAGAUCAAGUCUAACGGAGCCGAUCAUCGAUUUAGAAGCCGCAUCAUUGAAAACAACUUGGUAGCACGAAAACCUCCGUGCUACCGAUAGUAUACCAGCCUAGCUCAUAUAUAUCUAAUAGUGCAAUUUUCAUUAAAACAAUACAAAUUUUUUUUAAACAGUGUAAUCUUAUUUAAACAGUGCAAUUUUAUCAUCUUCUUUCUUUUUUUUAAUAUUUUUUUGAUCUUUUUUGUAUGAAAAAAAUAUUUUUUAUUUUUAUUUUUUUAUUAUUCUUAUUUUUUUUCUGUAUAAAUUUUUUUUUCUCACAACCUCUCUCUUGCUUUUUAUCGCAACCACCGCGACGUCGCCGGAGGCAAUCUCGCC
rnacentral:lncRNA from 1 species